rnacentral:rRNA from 1 species
GGUUAAGCGACUAAGCGUACACGGUGGAUGCCCUGGCAGUCAGAGGCGAUGAAGGACGUACUAAUCUGCGAUAAGCGUCGGUAAGGUGAUAUGAACCGUUAUAACCGGCGAUUUCCGAAUGGGGAAACCCAGUGUGAUUCGUCACACUAUCAUUAACUGAAUCCAUAGGUUAAUGAGGCGAACCGGGGGAACUGAAACAUCUAAGUACCCCGAGGAAAAGAAAUCAACCGAGAUUCCCCCAGUAGCGGCGAGCGAACGGGGAGCAGCCCAGAGCCUGAAUCAGUGUGUGUGUUAGUGGAAGCGUCUGGAAAGGCGCGCGAUACAGGGUGACAGCCCCGUACACAAAAAUGCACAUACUGUGAGCUCGAUGAGUAGGGCGGGACACGUGGUAUCCUGUCUGAAUAUGGGGGGACCAUCCUCCAAGGCUAAAUACUCCUGACUGACCGAUAGUGAACCAGUACCGUGAGGGAAAGGCGAAAAGAACCCCGGCGAGGGGAGUGAAAAAGAACCUGAAACCGUGUACGUACAAGCAGUGGGAGCACGCUUAGGCGUGUGACUGCGUACCUUUUGUAUAAUGGGUCAGCGACUUAUAUUCUGUAGCAAGGUUAACCGAAUAGGGGAGCCGAAGGGAAACCGAGUCUUAACUGGGCGUUAAGUUGCAGGGUAUAGACCCGAAACCCGGUGAUCUAGCCAUGGGCAGGUUGAAGGUUGGGUAACACUAACUGGAGGACCGAACCGACUAAUGUUGAAAAAUUAGCGGAUGACUUGUGGCUGGGGGUGAAAGGCCAAUCAAACCGGGAGAUAGCUGGUUCUCCCCGAAAGCU